AAAGAAAAAGCUAAAUUCGUCGCGAGGCGGAGGCGGAAAACCACGGAUCUCACGCAGAUGGCCGGGUUGCCUUUC
rnacentral:ncRNA from 1 species